rnacentral:rRNA from 1 species
UACAGAGGUCCCAAGCGUUGUUCGGAUUUACUGGGCGUAAAGCGCGCGUAGGCGGACGUUUAAGUCAGGGGUGAAAUCCCAGGGCUCAACCCUGGAACGGCCUUUGAUACUGGACGUCUGGAGAUCGGGAGAGGUUGGUGGAAUUCGAGUGUAGCGGUGAAAUGCGCAGAUAUCAGGAGGAACACCGGUGGCGAAGGCGGCGACCUGGGUAGAUACUGACGCUGGAGGUGCGAAAGCGUGGGGAGCAAACAGG